rnacentral:rRNA from 1 species
CUCCUACGGGAGGCAGCAGUGGGGAAUUUUGGACAAUGGGCGCAAGCCUGAUCCAGCCAUGCCGCGUGAGUGAAGAAGGCCUUCGGGUUGUAAAGCUCUUUCAGUUGGGAAGAAACGAUUGCAACUAAUAAUUGUAAUUAAUGACGGUACCGACAGAAGAAGCACCGGCUAACUACGUGCCAGCGCCGCGUAAU